CUACGUGCCAGCAGCCGCGGUAAUACGGAAGGUUCGGGCGUUAUCCGGAUUUAUUGGGUUUAAAGGGAGCGUAGGCCGGAGAUUAAGUGUGUUGUGAAAUGUAGACGCUCAACGUCUGACUUGCAGCGCAUACUGGUUUCCUUGAGUACGCACAACGUUGGCGGAAUUCGUCGUGUAGCGGUGAAAUGCUUAGAUAUGACGAAGAACUCCGAUUGCGAAGGCAGCUGACGGGAGCGCCACUGACGCUUAAGCUCGAAGGUGCGGGUAUCGAACAGGAUUAGAUACCCUGGUAGUCCGCACAGUAAACGAUGGAUGCCCGCUGUUGGUACCUGGUAUCAGCGGCUAAGCGAAAGCAUUAAGCAUCCCACCUGGGGAGUACGCCGGCAACGGUGAAACUCAAAGGAAUUGACGGGGGCCCGCACAAGCGGAGGAACAUGUGGUUUAAUUCGAUGAUACGCGAGGAACCUUACCCGGGCUUGAA
rnacentral:rRNA from 1 species